rnacentral:rRNA from 1 species
GGUUAAGCGAAUAAGCGUACACGGUGGAUGCCUAGGCAAUCAGAGGCGAUGAAGGACGUGCUAAUCUGCGAAAAGCGUCGGUAAGGUGAUAUGAACCGUUAUACCCGACGAUAUCCGAAUGGGGAAACCCAGUAUCCAAUGGAUACUAUCAUUAACUGAAUCCAUAGGUUAAUGAGGCGAACCGGGAGAACUGAAACAUCUCAGUACCCCGAGGAAAAGAAAUCAACCGAGAUUCCCCUAGUAGCGGCGAGCGAACGGGGAGCAGCCCAGAGUCUUAAUCAAUAGCAGUGUCAGGAGAACGGUCUGGAAAGUCCGGCAGUAAAGGGUGAUAGCCCCGUAUCUGAAGAUGCUGUUGUUGUGAACUCGACGAGUAGGGCGGGACACGUGUUAUCCUGUCUGAAUAUGGGGGGACCAUCCUCCAAGGCUAAAUACUCCUGAUUGACCGAUAGUGAACCAGUACCGUGAGGGAAAGGCGAAAAGAACCCCGGCGAGGGGAGUGAAAAAGAACCUGAAACCGUGUACGUACAAGCAGUAGGAGCCUCUUUAUGGGGUGACUGCGUACCUUUUGUAUAAUGGGUCAGCGACUUAUAUUCUGUAGCAAGGUUAACCGUAUAGGGGAGCCGUAGGGAAACCGAGUCUUAACUGGGCGAAUGAGUUGCAGGGUAUAGACCCGAAACCCGGUGAUCUAUCCAUGGGCAGGUUGAAGGUUGGGUAACACUAACUGGAGGACCGAACCGACUAAUGUUGAAAAAUUAGCGGAUGACUUGUGGAUGGGGGUGAAAGGCCAAUCAAACCGGGAGAUAGCUGGUUCUCCCCGAAAGCUAUUUAGGUAGCGCCUCGUGAAUUCAUCUUCGGGGGUAGAGCACUGUUUCGACUAGGGGGUCAUCCCGACUUACCAACUCGAUGCAAACUGCGAAUACCGAAGAAUGUUAUCACGGGAGACACACGGCGGGUGCUAACGUCCGUCGUGAAGAGGGAAACAACCCAGACCGCCAGCUAAGGUCCCAAAGUCAUGGUUAAGUGGGAAACGAAGUGGGAAGGCUCAGACAGCCAGGAUGUUGGCUUAGAAGCAGCCAUCAUUUAAAGAAAGCGUAAUAGCUCACUGGUCGAGUCGGCCCGCGCGGAAGAUGUAACGGGGCUAAACCAUGCACCGAAGCUGCGGCAGCGACACAAAGUGUUGUUGGGUAGGGGAGCGUUCUGUAAGCCUGCGAAGGUGUACUGUGAGGUAUGCUGGAGGUAUCAGAAGUGCGAAUGCUGACAUAAGUAACGAUAAUGCGGGUGAAAAACCCGCACGCCGGAAGACCAAGGGUUCCUGUCCAACGUUAAUCGGGGCAGGGUGAGUCGACCCCUAAGGCGAGGCUGAAAAGCGUAGUCGAUGGGAAACGGGUUAAUAUUCCCGUACUGGUGGUAACUGCGAUGGGGGAACGGAGAAGGCUAGGUUGUCCGGGCGACGGUCGUCCCGGUUCAAGCAGGUAGGCAGAGUGAUUAGGCAAAUCCGGUCACUUAAUGCUGAGAUGUGAUGACGAACCACCAAGGUGGUGAAGCAAUUGAUGCCCCGCUUCCAGGAAAAGCCUCUAAGCUUCAGGUUACCAACAAUCGUACCCCAAACCGACACAGGUGGUCAGGUAGAGAAUACUCAGGCGCUUGAGAGAACUCGGGUGAAGGAACUAGGCAAAAUGGUGCCGUAACUUCGGGAGAAGGCACGCUGGCGGUAGGUAAAGUCCCUUGCGGACGGCGCUGAAGCCAGUCGAAGAUACCAGCUGGCUGCAACUGUUUAUUAAAAACACAGCACUGUGCAAACACGAAAGUGGACGUAUACGGUGUGACGCCUGCCCGGUGCUGGAAGGUUAAUUGAUGGGGUCAGCCGCAAGGCGAAGCUCCUGAUCGAAGCCCCAGUAAACGGCGGCCGUAACUAUAACGGUCCUAAGGUAGCGAAAUUCCUUGUCGGGUAAGUUCCGACCUGCACGAAUGGCGUAAUGAUGGCCAGGCUGUCUCCACCCGAGACUCAGUGAAAUUGAACUCGCUGUGAAGAUGCAGUGUACCCGCGGCAAGACGGAAAGACCCCGUGAACCUUUACUAUAGCUUGACACUGAACAUUGAGCCUUGAUGUGUAGGAUAGGUGGGAGGCUUUGAAGUGUGGACGCCAGUCUGCAUGGAGCCAACCUUGAAAUACCACCCUUUAACGUUUGAUGUUCUAACCUAGGCCCAUAAACUGGGUCGGGGACCGUGUCUGGUGGGUAGUUUGACUGGGGCGGUCUCCUCCUAAAGAGUAACGGAGGAGCACGAAGGUUGGCUAAGCAUGGUCGGACAUCAUGCGGUUAGUGCAAAGGCAUAAGCCAGCUUGACUGCGAGAGUGACGGCUCGAGCAGGUACGAAAGUAGGUCUUAGUGAUCCGGUGGUUCUGAAUGGAAGGGCCAUCGCUCAACGGAUAAAAGGUACUCCGGGGAUAACAGGCUGAUACCGCCCAAGAGUUCAUAUCGACGGCGGUGUUUGGCACCUCGAUGUCGGCUCAUCACAUCCUGGGGCUGAAGUAGGUCCCAAGGGUAUGGCUGUUCGCCAUUUAAAGUGGUACGCGAGCUGGGUUUAGAACGUCGUGAGACAGUUCGGUCCCUAUCUGCCGUGGGCGUUGGAAGAUUGAGAGGGGUUGCUCCUAGUACGAGAGGACCGGAGUGAACGCACCACUGGUGUUCGGGUUGUCAUGCCAAUGGCAUUGCCCGGUAGCUAAGUGCGGAAGAGAUAACCGCUGAAAGCAUCUAAGCGGGAAACUUGCCUCGAGAUGAGUCUUCCCUGUCGCUUUAAGCGACCUAAAGGAACGUUUAAGACUAAGACGUUGAUAGGCUGGGUGUGUAAGCGUAGCGAUACGUUGAGCUAACCAGUACUAAUGAACCGUGAGGCUUAACCUG